rnacentral:rRNA from 1 species
AUACGUAGGUGGCAAGCGUUGUCCGGAAUUAUUGGGCGUAAAGCGCAUGUAGGCGGUGCCUUAAGUCUGUCGUGAAACUGCGGGGCCUAACCCCGUAUGGCGAUGGAAACUGUGGCACUUGAGUGCAGGAGAGGAAAGGGGAACUCCCAGUGUAGCGGUGAAAUGCGUAGAUAUUGGGAAGAACACCGGUGGCGAAGGCGCCUUUCUGGACUGUGUCUGACGCUGGGAUGCGAAAGCCAGGGUAGCGAACGGGAUUAGAUACCCCGGUAGUCCUGGCCGUAAACGAUGGGUACUAGGUGUGGGAGGUAUCGACCCCUUCCGUGCCGGAGUUAACGCAAUAAGUACCCCGCCUGGGGAGUACGGCCGCAAGGCUUAAACUCAAAGGAAUUGACGGG